ACGCGAAAGGGGGGCAACCCCCGAGUAGAGUGGCGAACGGGUGAGUAAUACAUCGGAACGUACCCAGUAGCGGGGGAUAACCUCUCGAAAGAGAGGCUAAUACCGCAUACGACCUACGGGUGAAAGAGGGGGAUCGCAAGACCUCUCACUAUUGGAGCGGCCGAUGUCGGAUUAGCUAGUUGGUGGGGUAAAGGCCCACCAAGGCGACGAUCCGUAGCUGGUCUGAGAGGACGACCAGCCACACUGGAACUGAGACACGGUCCAGACUCCUACGGGAGGCAGCAGUGGGGAAUUUUGGACAAUGGGCGAAAGCCUGAUCCAGCCAUGCCGCGUGGGUGAAGAAGGCCUUCGGGUUGUAAAGCCCUUUCGGCUGGGACGAAAAGGCCCGCGUUAACACCGCGGGUCCAUGACGGUACCAGCAGAAGAAGCACCGGCUAACUACGUGCCAGCAGCCGCGGUAAUACGUAGGGUGCAGGCGUUA
rnacentral:rRNA from 1 species